AUUGAACGCUGGCGGCAGGCUUAACACAUGCAAGUCGAGCGGAGCGAGGGUGCUUGCACCUUAGCUUAGCGGCGGACGGGUGAGUAAUGCUUAGGAGUCUGCCUAUUAGUGGGGGACAACAUUCCGAAAGGAAUGCUAAUACCGCAUACGCCCUACGGGGGAAAGCAGGGGAUCUUCGGACCUUGCGCUAAUAGAUGAGCCUAAGUCGGAUUAGCUAGUUGGUGGGGUAAAGGCCUACCAAGGCGACGAUCUGUAGCGGGUCUGAGAGGAUGAUCCGCCACACUGGGACUGAGACACGGCCCAGACUCCUACGGGAGGCAGCAGUGGGGAAUAUUGGACAAUGGGCGGAAGCCUGAUCCAGCCAUGCCGCGUGUGUGAAGAAGGCCUUUUGGUUGUAAAGCACUUUAAGCGAGGAGGAGGCUACUUGGAUUAAUACUCUAGGAUAGUGGACGUUACUCGCAGAAUAAGCACCGGCUAACUCUGUGCCAGCAGCCGCGGUAAUAC
rnacentral:rRNA from 1 species